UACGUAGGGAGCAAGCGUUGUCCGGAAUCACUGGGCGUAAAGCGCGCGUAGGCGGCCUCAUAAGUCCGUUGUGAAAGUCAAAGGCUCAACCUUUGAAAGCCGAUGGAUACUGUGAGACUAGAGUACGGAAGAGGCGAGUGGAAUUCCUGGUGUAGCGGUGGAAUGCGCAGAUAUCAGGAGGAACACCAAUAGCGAAGGCAGCUCGCUGGGACGUUACUGACACUGAGGCGCGAAAGCGUGGGGAGCGAACAGG
rnacentral:rRNA from 1 species